rnacentral:rRNA from 1 species
AGAGUUUGAUCCUGGCUCAGGACGAACGCUGGCGGCGUGCUUAACACAUGCAAGUCGAACGAAAAGACGGAAAGAGCUUGCUCUUUUCAGAAUUGAGUGGCAAACGGGUGAGUAACACGUAAACAACCUGCCUUCAGGAUGGGGACAACAGACGGAAACGACUGCUAAUACCGAAUAAGUUCCAAGAGCCGCAUGGCCCAUGGAAGAAAAGGUGGCCUCUACCUGUAAGCUAUCGCCUGAAGAGGGGUUUGCGUCUGAUUAGCUGGUUGGAGGGGUAACGGCCCACCAAGGCGACGAUCAGUAGCCGGUCUGAGAGGAUGAACGGCCACACUGGAACUGAGACACGGUCCAGACUCCUACGGGAGGCAGCAGUGGGGAAUCUUCCGCAAUGGGCGAAAGCCUGACGGAGCAACGCCGCGUGAGUGAUGACGGCCUUCGGGUUGUAAAACUCUGUGAUCCGGGACGAAAAGGCAGAGUGCGAAGAACAAACUGCAUUGACGGUACCGGAAAAGCAAGCCACGGCUAACUACGUGCCAGCAGCCGCGGUAAUACGUAGGUGGCAAGCGUUGUCCGGAAUUAUUGGGCGUAAAGCGCGCGCAGGCGGCUUCCCAAGUCCCUCUUAAAAGUGCGGGGCUUAACCCCGUGAUGGGAAGGAAACUGGGAAGCUGGAGUAUCGGAGAGGAAAGUGGAAUUCCUAGUGUAGCGGUGAAAUGCGUAGAGAUUAGGAAGAACACCGGUGGCGAAGGCGACUUUCUGGACGAAAACUGACGCUGAGGCGCGAAAGCGUGGGGAGCAAACAGGAUUAGAUACCCUGGUAGUCCACGCCGUAAACG